rnacentral:rRNA from 1 species
UACGUAGGAGGCGAGCGUUGUUCGGAGUUACUGGGCGUAAAGCGUGCGUAGGCGGUGUCUUAAGUUUGUUGUGAAAUCUCCCGGCUUAACCGGGAGGGUGCGGCGAAUACUGAGAUGCUGGAGUGCGGGAGAGGUAAGCGGAAUUCCUGGUGUAGCGGUGAAAUGCGUAGAUAUCAGGAGGAACACCUGCGGUGUAGACGGCUGACUGGACCGUAACUGACGCUGAGGCACGAAAGCGUGGGUAGCAAACAGG